GACAGAGGUCCCGAGCGUUAGGCGGAAUCACUGGGCUUAAAGCGUGUGUAGGCGGAUCGUUAAGUGCCUUGUGAAAUCCCACGGCUUAACCGUGGAACUGCUUGGCAUACUGGCGGUCUUGAGCAACCUAGGGGCGAGCGGAACAAAUGGUGGAGCGGUGAAAUGCGUAGAUAUCAUUUGGAACGCCAAUGGUGAAAACAGCUCGCUGGGGGUUUGCUGACGCUGAGACACGAAAGCCAGGGGAGCAAACGGG
rnacentral:rRNA from 1 species